UUAUUUUGUUGCUAUGAUAAUUGGGCCCCGUGUUUCGGGAAUAUAUGGUUCAAAGGCAUCUGCUGAUUUUUAUAUUUCUUGCUUACUCUUUAGGUUUGACUAAUCUGGAGAAUAUGAAUCUGUCAUUCACAUUAGUAACUAAUGGUGGUUUGAAAAAGUUGUCUAAAUUGACAUCUCUUAAAUCACUUAACUUGGAUGCACGCCAAAUUACUGACGAAGGACUUGAAAAUCUUACGAAUCUUACUAAAUUGCCACACCUGGAUCUUUUUGGAGCUCAUAUCACAGAUUCUGGAAUGAAUUAUUUA